UAACUUUACAUAUUUCACAAAAGUUUUUGAAUAAGACGAACGGUCAAACAUGUGCUAAAAAGUCAACGGUGUCAAACAUUUCAAAACGGAGGGAGUAUAUUAAUUAGACUGUGUCAUCUGAGAUGUGACCAUACUACUGAUCAUAUGUUCAGGCAUGCCGCUGGAGGUAUACAAUGUGAGUCGGCAUCAGCUUUUGUUCUCUCUGAAGGAUUCCACUUAGGAGUAUGUACGUGAGUUAUGCCAAAAGAAUGUAAAGCCAGGCUGCCAAACGUCACCAAGGCAAGCCAAAUAGAGACAGAGCUAAUAGAUUCUUCUGACUUUGGAAAACCAGCGAUUAUUAAAUAAAUUGUAACCUCUAAAACUCCCAGGAAUAAUGGCGACUGUUAGGUUCUGUAUCAGUUUGCUUUUGUACUAUCCUGAAUACUAAAUCCGUCCUAAAAUAAAUGCAGCCAUAAAUAUCCGUGUUUAGCGCUUUGACCAUCCGUCUUAUUUAAAAAAUUUAUGAAAAAUAUUAAAAAAAUUAGUCACACAUAAAGUACUAUUCAUGUUUUAUUAUCUAAUAACAAUAAAAAUACCUCUUUUUUUAAAUAAGACGAACAGUCAAACGUUGAACAUGAAUAGCGCUAAAACUGCACUUAUUUUGGGACGGAGGGAGUAUAUGCUAUUUUUCCUCACAAGUAUCUCAGUACUAUGAAAGAUGUGGUGCAGAUGAAGAAGAGAUUCAGACAUUCAGUACCGUGAGGUCAAAGCUGUCUUUGUACUUUUGUCAUGUAAACUGCAGGUUUAAUUCCAUAUUGUUUCAACC